rnacentral:lncRNA from 1 species
GUAGCCCAUGUUCAAAAGAAAGAAAAAGAAGGAGAAAAGAGGGGGAUAGGAAGGAAAAGAGGGAAAGGAUAAGAGAGCAAUAAUUAUACUUUCUCCCACCUCUAUUUCUCCUACAACAAAAUCAGCAGAAAGAAAAGAAAGAAAAAGAGAGAGAAUGAAAGAGAAAGAAAGAAGAAGAUGAAACCAUGGAAGCAUGAAGGAAGAAUAAGAAAUCAAAAGGUAAAACCAAAAUUUUUCAUCUCUUUACUUUUCUUAAGAGUUUGAUUUGUUGAAAGUUGGGUUAUAGGGGAUCAUGAUGGAUCCAAAGUAAUAAGGAAGUAUAUGAUAAAUAUUUUAUGUUUAAUCUAUGUCAUAAUUGAAUUUAAGAUCAAAAAGUUAGGAAUGUGUUUGAGGAUGAAUAAAAGUUAUUUUGAGGACUUAAAUCAAACUUGUAAAAGUGUUGAUAGUUGAUUAAUGUGUAAUAUCUGAGGAGGAUGAUCUAUAGAUUAAGAAGUUAUGGAAAUAUUCCAAUUUGAACGGACUAAAAAUGAUUUAAAUCGAAGUAGUGGUGAAAGUUUUCGUAAACAUGUUAAACGAUGAAAAACUUAGUCUUGGGGGACUUUUGAGCAAAAUUUUUGAAUAAUUAAUGAAUCUGAAAAAUUAUGAAAUCAUGGAGGUUUUGUAGAGCAUGUUACAAUCUUUCCAUAACCUUGAAAAUGGACUAAUUCCGACUUAAAAUGAAGAAGUUAUAAAGAUUUGAAGUAUGUGCGUCAAAAGUUGCAAAAUCUAGAACAUUGGAGUUAAGUGCCAAGGGUCGAGCGCCUAAGCACUAGGCUCGGCGCUUAGAAUCUGUUCUAGGGCGCCUAGGCGCUUGCCCAAGGCCAAAUUUGGGCGCCUAGGCGCUGAUCUAGUGUUAAGCCAAAAUCUGUUCAGACGUCCUUUAGUAAAUUGGGCAUAACGUCUUCAUAUGAACUCCGAUUGAGGUGAUUCAGGAUGAUUUAAAAAGAUAACGAGUAGACCCAAAACUUUUAUUCUUUAUAUUUUGAGAUUUGAGGUAGUUAUCAAGGCCUAAAAUGGCUAUUUUAGUGACUAAUGUGCAUUUAGAGGCAAUCAGAGGACGUCGGGCAUGCACGUAUGCAACGUGUAAUGUUUUCGAUGAUAAAUGAUGUUGUUAUAAGUUGUAAAACAUGAAAAUUAUUAAAUAUAAUGAUAUUAUGCGAUGAAUAAAGACAACUUAAAUGAACAAUGAAUUAUUAGUUGGUGUAUAUGUUAUUCGAUAUAAUUAUGAUUUGAUGUUGAUCCUUACUUUUAAUAGAAUUUGAAUUGUUUAUAAGUAAGGUAUUAAUUUGAUUCUUACAUAAGAAGUCACUAUGUAUUUUAUUCAAUAAUUGUCACAGUAGUUAUUACACAGUGAUUCAUAUUAUUGAUUCUUAAUUAUGUAAGAAGUCACUCAGUCUUUUAUUCAAUAAUUGCCACAGUAGUUAUUGCACAGUGACUCAUAUUAUUUGAUAUGAUAUAAUUAAACCAGUUGGCAGUAUUGAGAGUAUAUGUUAAUAAUUGUGAAUAAUGGUUCAAAGAUUGAAAAUGGUGUUGAUUAAAGAUAAGUAUGAUAUACAGAUGGUUGUUCAAUUAUUUUCUUUUUUACAAAAGUAAGUUUGGCAGGACUUGCGAACACUCUACUUUUACUAAAGUAGUAUGGACCACAACUCUAUUAUUGAACAAAUUUUAUUAAAACGUGUACAAAGUUGGUUUAAUUUUCUCUGUUGGACCAUAAAUUCCACUACCAUUUUUAUAUACCUCAUUUGGUUAAUUUGUCAAAGCAGAUGUGCUUGUUUACUAAAUUUUUAGUAUAAAUAGGUUGCUCGGUUGAGUAACUAAACACACAUCAUCACUACACUAAAAGUAUAGAAUUCUUUUACUUCAAUAUUGUGAGUAUUUCUAUUGAGUUUAAUGUUACUCCAAGUGUAGAUAAGGAAUGCAAGCAUUGUUUAAGUUGAUUAAUUUCAUAGAAAGCAAAAUCAAGUCACAUGCUAAGGUAAGGGAUAUCAUUAUUAUGGUAAGAGGGUAUCAUUUCACUGUUGAUUUACUUGAUUAUAAAUAUGAAUUAUGAUUUAAUUAUAAUCUGUGGUGGUUCAGGUGAAAACAUGUGAUGAGAGUUCUCUUUGUCUUGGGUAUAACCAAGAACUGUUGAUGAGUAUUACAGGAAUGAAAUAUUAACGAUGGACUUUUAUUCUAGGGGAGAUAGUAGACAUUAUGUUCUACUUGAUUCUUCUAAUGGAUUGUUGAUUUCGCUGCUAUUAUGGUUGGAAACUUUUAUCUUCUACCAUAUGUUCUAAAUAUCUGAAUUAUUAUUGAUGAAGGCUAUUGAUAAUUUAAUUAUCUUAAGUCAUGAUAUUCUUUACUGGGCUAUUUGUGCUCACCCUUUUACUUCAGCACCCCUUUUAGGUAAUAAAAGUGUAGCUGAGACUAGCAGAGAGAACAUGAGUAUAAAGUGUUGAUACGAAUUAGUCACAAGCCUAAUCAAAUUAUGAAACGUGUGGCAUAAUAAUUGUACUGAGAACUUAAAAUGUGUGUGACAUAUUUUAUACAUCAUUUGAUAUUUAAUUUUGGUGAACAACAAUUGGGUGAGGUGAAUCAGAAUUUGGAAACGUCAAAAAUGCACUCCAUUAGAAUGAGGAGGACAGAAAUCUUCUCGUGUUCCUUUGGGGACUUGAAAUAUUUGCUGCUGUACUUUAGAUGGCAUUGUAAUAAUUUGAGUAUGAAUAUUGUCGUAUUAUAUACGUUACAAUAUUUGUAUUGAAACUCACAGUAUAUGUGUCGUCGUAUUUUGCACUACAGUUGUAUAAAUGAAGCUGUCAGUCAUGUAUUUUCUAGCGACCAAGGAUGGGUGGCGUAUACCUAUUUUGGGGGCAUCACAACAGGAUACUGGAAUAGUGAGGUAUCAGACUUCUCUUCUUCUUUCUCUCUAUAAUUUCUCUAUAAUAAUUACUCUUGUGAGACUUAGUGAAUUGGUGAGAAUGAAGGAAGAAUGAGCUUCUAUUUAUAGGAAAAUAUAGUUUCGAUAAUUGCACGUUUUGGGGCUCGAAAUAUUACAAUAUAAUACCUUUAUCUUUUCUUUCAUUUUUAAUUUAGUCCUACAAGUAUUAUCAAACUUGCACCACCUCACCUAAUAGUAAAUCAUGUGAAUCAAUAGUAAAUCAUGUGACUCAAUAGUUCUAAACAUGUGAAAAAAAUAAUUACAGUAUAGUACCUUCAUCUAUAAUUUAAUCAUGCAAGUAUUAUCAAUCUUGCACCACCUCCCCUAAUAGUACAUACAUGUGAACACAUAGUUAUAAGCAUGUGAAUCAAUAGCAAUUAAUUCCUCAUUUAUUCGAUUAAUUACCCGAUUGGUCAAUAUAACCUCUAGACAUCAAUUAUUAUCGAAAUAAAUGUCGAUUUCCACUAACACUAAUAAUUCCAACACAAUGGAACUAUUAAUUUCAUCAUUAAUCAACACGAACUUAUUCAUAAUUAAUAUUAUAAUUCACAAUAUUUAACAACCAGGUCGUUCCCAGGAAAGAGGGGGCUUUCCGAUAAGGAUUUCUCCUUAUUGGCGCGCAAUUAGGUGACCAAACCUCUCCUUGAUAGAACUUCUAGACAUUGUCAAUAUUGCAAAUAAUAAUAUGAAUAACUUUGUUGUCUCAAUUAUUGAUUUAAUAAUAUAAUAUAUUAUACAGUUGAUACUAUGACAAUAAUUGAAUCAAUAAUAUGAGAGUUAUGAUGCAGCAAUUACUGUAGCAAUAAUUGAGUAUAACUGAGUGACUUCUUACGUAAGCAUCAAUAAUCAAUACCGUGUGCUUCUAUGCAACCACACGUAUUACUGUACUUUUACUACCGGGUAGUUCAACAGUUUUAACGGUAACACUCGCCGUUAUUUUUAUAAAAUGAUAAUUUUAUCAUUUUCUAACUACGACAAUACUUCCGUUGUGGGGUCCACAUCGUCGUACGAAUAUUUCUUGUUAAAACGAAUAUUCCCCUACCAAUCGAAUAUUAUAUAACAACUUUCUUACUUUACAAAAUUUAUAAAUAUUACACACAACUAUAACAUUAUAUCAAAUCCACACUAUAAUAUUCAAAAAAAUAUUUCGAGAAAUUUAAAUCUUUAUUCAUAAAAUUUGGGGUCUCACAAUCUCCCCUCCUUAUGAAAUUUUGCCCUCGAAAUUUACGUACGUACCAGGUAUGCUGAAGAGAUGAGGAUACCUUGACUUCAUUUCAGAUUCUAACUCUUGAGGUAUAACCUUUGAGUGUCGAAUAUAAUCCUUCUUAUCCAAGAUUUUAACACGUAUCUCCUCAUAAAUUAAAUCUUUUUCUAUCUCGUCUAGUUCUAAUUCAAUAAUGUGGUUUGGGUCAUCCACAUAAUUAUGUAACAUCGAUACGUGAAAAACGUUAAGAACACACGACAUACUUGACGGUAAAACGAGUCUAUAGGCCACAGUUCCUACUCGAUCGAGGAUUUCAAAUGGGCCAAUUAAAUCGAGGGUUGAGAUUUCCUCUAUUCAUCGACUCUUGCUUCUAGAAUAACGCCUUCUUGAACCUUCUUCUUCAUAUUCAUCAGCUCCAGGUGUGUAGUUUGAGCAGCUUUAACUUUAUCGAUUAAAGUCCAUUCUACUCGUAUAUUCGUUAUCUUCACGUGGGUCUCUAGAGUCUUUAACUCUAUCUUCGUCAUUGUAAGUUAUACGAAAUGGGUUUUUGUGUUAACAAUAUUGCACUCGUAAACGCAUACGAUCUUCUACUCAACGCGUCAGCUACCACAUUCGUUCUUCCACAAUGAUAUUGAAUGGUAUAGUCGUAAUCUUCAACAGCUCGAGCCAACAUCUUUGGCGUAUUAUAUGUUUGUUUUGGUUGAAGAAAUAUUUAAGGGUUGAAGAAAUGGGUUUUAUACUGUGGUCAAUACAAAAUUCGAUUUCACGCUCUAGGGUAGGCGAGGAAGUUCUUCGAGAAUACGUCAGGAAAUUUAUUAACGAUAGAAAUAUCAUUCAAAACUGUGACUCUCAUCCAAGACUUGGAUAGGACAUGAAAUGAAGGUUUCUACUAACGGAGUUUCAACCGAUAAGUCAAAGACUAAUUUCUUCGAAGUCAAAUUUAAACUUUGAGCGCAAGCAAGAGAGACAAAAUAAUGGGUAGAACCGGUAUCUAAUAAGGUAUAGACUUCGCCAGAAUUUAUAAUUAACUAACCUGUACUAACUUCGUUCGGGUUACUCGCUUUUUGAGAAGUCACGAAAAACGUUCUUCCUAAAACCACCGACUUUGUUUUGUCCGUAUCCGCCUUUAGUGCCACCAUCCCAACUGGACUUGACUUUAGCGCACGACAAAAUCGGGCUAGGUGAUCUUCUUUUCCAUAAUUAUAACAUGCUUUAGACUGUAUCACACAGUUUGGAACGGGUGCUGGUGAUACUGUCUUUCCAUCAUUUAAAACAUACGACCGACGGUCGUUCUCCUUCCUUUGAAACGGGUGCUGGUGCUACUGUCUUUCCAUCAUUAUUGAACCUUCUCUUCUUGAAAUUUCCACUUCUAUUAUCUUGGCCAUGAUUACCACUGAAGUGGUUACCAUUUCUAGCAUGAUAAUUUCCUCCACGAUGGUUAUCGUUGUUCCGAUGGCCGUUGCCACCGGUACGAUUAUUAUCGUGUUGCUAGUCAUUACCUUUUGGUUGAGCUGACUCAACGGUCUCAUGUGCUUCAUUGCUUAUCUCAACAUUUUCAGAUGCCUUUCUCAAACACUAUCACAAAACAAGGGUUAAUUGACAUGUCACAUAUUAUCCCUAUACUCUGACCGACCAAUUAAAUACCAAGUAAACUUAGGUAGGUCAUACUAGCGAAAGAAUUCUCCGUCUCUCCCCUCCUAGUUCUUGUCUCACAUCUCAGCCAGGGAUCAUAUUCCUAAGCUUUGAUACCAAUUGUGACGCCCCCAAAAUAGGUAUACAUCACCCAUCUUGAGUAGCUAGAUACAUGGUACAUAAAUUCAAAUACAACUUAAUUAUACAACAGUCGUGUAAAAUACGACAAAAUAUAGCUGAGAGUUUAAACAAGAAUAUUGUCAUCUAGACAAUAUCCACACUCAAUGGUGUCCUCAUUACAAUUAUUAUCACAUUAUUCCGUAGAAUAGUGAGGACUACUAAAGCCAUUUAUCCUGGACCAUCACUCCAUUUCCCGACUCGUCCCAGCUAUAUUCUCAUUUCCUGAAGAGAACAAUGAAAGAAAGGGUGAGCUCAACUAGCCCAGUAAGAAAUAUUAUGACUAAGAUAAUGCAGAAUAAAUUAUCCUUAGCCUUCAACAGUAUAACAACUGAUAGAAUACAAUAGACAACAAGUUUUAGAUCAACAACUGCAGCGGAAAUAAGCAAUCCAUUAGAAGAGUCAAGUAGAGCAUAAAAUCUACUAUCUUCUAUGAUUUAAAAAGUUUUUCAUCAACUUUAUCGCUGAGACUCAGCUUAAUAAAUAAAAUCGAAUCAUCCCUGCACCACGGCCAAGGAUAUUCAUGUAAUCAUCAAUGGUCAUGAUUAUACCGAAUAAUCCCUGGUCAUAAUCAUACCAACAACUGUCCAUCAAUGAACUACAGGCCAAUGAGGACUUUUACCACAUCAUUCGUCACAUUACGGUCAUGAUUAUACCGAAUAAUCCCUGGUCAUAAUCAUACCAAGUUCAUCUAUGCACGUAAGCCAAAGAUGACUUUAAUCACAAUAUAAGCAUGAGGAUGAUGACAAUGACAUAAUAAUUCAAUAAAACAAGUUCAAGGAUAAAUUUUUAAAGAUUUAUAAUUUAAUUUAUCCAGAAAUUAAUAACGUCCAAAUUGUCAACAUGAUACUGCUUUGUAGAGUAAAAUUCAAGAAUAAUAUUCAUGUACCAAAAAUAAUUUGGACAGCAAAAAAAUAUAUUUUUCGGGUGAAUAGUACUCCGUGAAUAGUACCCCGACACGAAAAGUAUCCCAAAUACCCGAGUGAAUGAUACUAGAGUGAAUAGUAAUCGGGUGAAUAGUAACCCGUGAAUAGUAACUCGUGAAUAGUACUCCGGCAUAAAAAGUAUCCUGAAUACCCGAGUGAAUAAUACUAGAGUGAAUAGUAACCGGGUGAAUAGUAACCCGUGAAUAGUAACUCGUAAAAAAAUACUAAGGAAAACGAUAUUCCAUGACGAGUACAAAAGAAAUGAUAUCUCAGACGAGUAUAAUAGAAUAUACGAAAUUGCAAAUGAAUUUUCACCCGCCAUGCGGUAAUCCACGUAGACAGACCAUUUCCACAAUUUAAUAAGGAAUGAAUACAAAGGAUCAUUCACCAUGCAUGCGGUAAUCCACAUAGAAAUGUUAUUCCAACAAAAUAAUAAAGAAUGGAAUAACAAAAGAAUUCACCAUGCAUGCGAUAGACCGCACAGACAGGUUAUUCCCAACAGAAUAAUAAAGAAUGGAAUAACAGAAGAAUUCACCAUGUAUGCGAUAGAACGCACAGACAGGUUAUUCCCAACAGAAUAAUAAAGAAUGGAAUAACAGAAGAAUUCACCAUGUAUGCGAUAGAACGCACAGACAGGUUAUUCCCAACAGAAUAAUAAAGAAUGGAAUAACAGAAGAAUUCACCAUGUAUGCGAUAGAACGCACAGACAGGUUAUUCCCAACAGAAUAAUAAAGAAUGGAAUAACAGAAGAAUUUCACCAUGUAUACGGUACUUCGUAUAGACAGGUUAUUCCAACAUAAUAAUAAAGAAUGGAAUAACAGAAGCUCCCUUCAUGAAUACGAAAGAAAUAAUACCCCUUACCUUAGAAGAAAUAACAUUAUAUCAAAUCCACACCAUAAUAUUCAAAAAAAUAUUUCGAGAAAUUUAAAUCUUUAUUCAUAAAAUUUGGGGUCUCACAGAUAUUAUGCAGGAAUUACUGUAGCAAUAAUUGAGUAUAACUGAGUGACUUCUCACGUAAGCAUCAAUAAUCAAUAUCGUGUGCUACUAUGCAACCACGCGUAUUACUGUACUUUUACUACCGGGUAGUUCAACAGUUUUAACGGUAACACUUUCGCCGUUAUUUUUAUAAAAUGAUAAUUCUGUCGUUUUCUAACUACGACAAUACUUUUGUUUUGGGUUCCACCAAUGAUUGUGUCAUCGUACGGAUAUUCCUGACAAAAAGAAUAUUCCAUGACCAAACAAAUAUUUUAUAACAACUUGCUUACUUUGCAAAAAAUUUCACAUAUCACCCUUAACUUUAAUAUUUUAUCAAUUUAACCAUUUACGAAAUAAAAUAAUAAUUAUAAGAAAAUUGAAUACUUUCAUUUCAUAAAAUUCGGGGUCUUACACCCUGCAGGUCAGUUCCAUAGUUCAAUUACAAUGCCCCAUGUCAUUAUUUUAUUUUAUUUAGUAUUGAGAAAUUAAGUAAAUACUACUUAGUUCAAUAUAUAAUUUAUUUUAUUUUAUUUUUAUUAUUUUUUAAUAUUCUAUUUAGUAUUGAGAAACUAAAUAAAUACGUACUAAUUAGUUCAUUAUUUUAUUUAUUCUAUUUUACUUUACUUUAUUUUAUUUUAUUUUAUUUAGUAUUGAUAAACUAAGUAAAUACUAAUUAUUUUAUUAUAUUAUUUAUUUUAUUUUAUUUGUUUUAUUUUAUAAUAUUUUAUUUAGUUUAUUUUAUUUUAUUUAGUAUUGAGAAACUAAGUAAAUACUAUUAAUUCAUUAUAUUAUAUUAUUUAUUUUAUUUUGUUUCAUUUUUAUUAUUUUAAAUAGUACAAAUUGUCCUAAAUUAAACGGUACACACUAUUGUUUCUUCCAAUAUUUCAGUUUAUUAAAUGAAAUUAUUCAAAAAUCAUAAUAUUCGAGUCUACAAAUUUAUUUUAAACAUUAUUUUAUCAAAACAUAGCUCACCGCACUCAUCAAAUUAAAUUCGGAAUGCUACCCAAAAUCAGAAUUAUGACAAGUUUCUAAAAAAUCAGAGGAUUCAAGUGCUAAAUCAAAUUCAAUUAUAUUCAGAAUGACAAUUCCUAAAUCAGAAGAUCCAAGUGCUUCCCAAGUUUCUCCAGUUUGUGUAAUGCUAUGGCAUAAGAAAUCCCAACCAAACUCACAUGACAUAUGACAUAGAAGGCUCAAACAUUUGAGAUACAAAAUCUAACAAUAUCUAACACUUGUUCGGAAAAAACUAUAACUACAUGCACAAAAUAUACACUGGGAUUCAACAUAUAUAUAAGAUUCAACCUAAGAUUUCAACAUUUUCUUAAAAAAUUCAAAUGAGAACAAAAAAAAAAUUAAUACCUGAUUUAUAGAGUGGCCUGGGCUUGGUCGAUGGCGACAACUUCGACGGUAGCAACCUUCCUCUCUUCCCUCUUCUUCUCCAUUUUCUCCCUCUUCUCCCUCUUCUUUUUCUUUCUUUCCACCGUCUCCUGGGCUGCUCGACUGCCUAUUUUGAUUAGAUUAAAGAAGAUCAGGGACCACAUGCGGUCGCUGUUUUUUAAUGACGUGGAUGUAUUAGAGACCGCUGGCGAUCGUUGGAAUUUGUUGGUCGUAAUAAACCUCCCCACCAACAUUUGCGCAAAAUUUAUGACGGCAAAAUUAAAUCAGCGACUGCAUGCGGUCGCUGAUAGUAGCUAGCAACUAGAUUUACAUACGGUUGCUAAUAUCGGUCGCUAUUAAUAACAUUAACGACCGGAUUAUGCGAUCGCUGAAAGUAUUGAUCGUUGUUGGACCAUUUUAUUAUAGUGUCGCCUCGUUUUCAAGCCUAUUGAUUGUAAUUAAGUCUAAGUUUUGACUCUAGACUGGAGAAUUAAAGUCUCCCCACUUAUAUCCGGAAUGUGUUUUCAUUAAGGCCAAUUAUGGAUGUGUGGACUUUAAACCUGGAUCAAGAUGUUUGCUUGCAAUGAUUAUACUUGAAAUAUGACUAUUAAUCACAAGUGUCUUAUUUGUUUUUAAAUUUGAACUUGAGACUAUUACUCCAUAGAUUAUAAAAUGACUUAAUAUAGGGGACUAUUUAAUACCAUGUUCAACUAGGUAUUAUAAUCUCAUAAAUUAUAAUCCCAAAAUUAUAAUACUUGUAAAGAAACAUGAGUUAUUGUCGUAUGUAAACUUAAGAAUGACAUUAUGUUAUUUUGACCAUCACAAAUUUAUCCGAAAUGUCAUAACGUUAAUUACAAUUAUAAUAUGUUUAUAUUUCUUAUAACUAAGAAUGUUUUAAAUUAAAUUUGAAAAAAGUAAAACCUAAUUUUACAUUUUAAACUUGAUAUUAUAAUCCCUAUAUAUGCAAAACGUGAUUUGAUUUGGACGCAAAGGUCAAAACGGAGAAGCGAAAUAUAGAUUAGAGAGGCUGCCCUUUCAAAGUAUAAAAGACUAACUACACAUCCAAGUUUCUUUCUCACAACCUAACGCUAUAAAUCAUUUGUUGAAUAUAUUUGAUCACAUGCAUUAUUAAUUUGCAUUUUUCUCCAUUUUCAUGUUUCUUUUUCCAAGUACACGUGGGAAAAAAAUUCAAUCCAAAUCGUUCCAAGUACAACUCGUCCUUUCUCAACCCUACUUAAUUCACAAAUACAAUUAUUUCCAAAUGUUGAAAUUUAAUAUAUACUAUAAGAAAUAUAUAGCUCACCCACUCUUCAUACAAGUCAAAAGAUGGCUGAAUUAAACAAUGUGUAGGUCAUACAUUAUUCUUAUUUUUAAGGGAUAACUUAGUCUUCAAAUUAUAAUUAUUUUUUUAUAUUUAGUCUCUUAACUAUUUUUUCGCAUAUUUUAUUUUUAAAUUAUAUUUUUCUUUCAUGUUAAUCACUUAAUUAAAAUAGAGUAUUUUUCACGUUUAAUUUUUAAAUUGUGAUUGUUAUUCAUAUUUGGUCUUUAAUUUAUAUAGUUGUUUUUCAUAUUUAGUACCCUUUAAUUACUCUAUUUUUAUAAAAUUUGACAAAGAUUAAAAAAAAUAAUAAAAUAUGAGGACGAAAUGCGUGAAAACAAAUAAUUUAAAAACUAAACAUGCAAAACAACAAUAAUUUAGAUAUAACGAAGAGGUUAUCCCUAUUUUUAACUCCGCCUAAUUCAAAUGUUCAUCAAUUGUAUAAAUAGACACAAAGUUAAUGAUACAAACUACUUGUAAUAUACGUCUAGUUAAAAUACAAUCGAUUUGACAUAUUUUUUUUAUAUGCAUAAAAAUUGUAUAUGUUGUGAAUAUUGCAGAUCUAUAUACAUGUUCUUAUGAAAUUAUAUUCUGAUCUAAAAGAUUAAGAUUCCUUGUAACAUAUGAUCCCUUCAUUUAUAUAGACACCAAAUUUCUUCUUAAAUUUUCACUACAAGAAAAAGGCCCAACAGUAAUUAAAAUUAUCUGUGACCGCCAUUUGUUGUCGCUAAUACUUAUAACAUCGACCGGUAUUAACGACCUCAUUUUAAUUUAGUCAUUAUUACUUUCCGUGAUUGUAAUCGGUCGAUGUUCGGUCGCUAAAAGAAUUUUCUAACAAAAAUUUGGCGUGAAAGUGGGGCGGGAAGCCUUUUUGCGACCGGAUCGUAAUAGCGACCGGAUAUCGGUUGCUAAUUCUACCACAUAGUUAAAAAUUAGCGACCGCGGGAGGUCGCAGAAAGCAGUCGAUGAUCCUAUUUAAUCUAUCAGGAAUUAGACAGUCAGACAGAAAUGAAAAAGAAUUAAGAAAAGAGAAGAGGGAGAAGAGAGAAUAGAGGAGUGCCCCCACCCCGGCCGGUCCACCCCACGCCGCCCUAUCAGGUAUAGUUUCUUAGUAAUGUAAUGUGUAUAAAUGUAUAAAUUAAUGUGUAUAAAUGUAUAAUUCUUUUAACUGAACAUAUGUAUAAUUUUCUUAUGUGCACUUUAAUGGUGAGUAGUAAUUUUAACUCAACUCGUGUGUAAAAGCUUUGCGAAAUAAAUCUUCAAUUUACCAAACUUGGAAAUUUUAUAUGGGUAUUAACAAGUACAAUCUAAUUAUAUCAAUGGUGCAUUGAUAUGUUCCAGAUGCAUGAAUUAUACCAUUUUUGAAUCAAUGUAUUAAUAUUAACCUUCAUCUUAGAAAGUAUAUAUAAUAUCACUAAUACAUUAUAAUACAGUAUAAUGCUUACAAUUAUUUAUUAGUGUAGUGCGAUUUAAAAGAAUGAACCCUCUAAUGCAUUCUAGUAUAGCAUUUUCAUAAAUUGAGAUGAGUAGAGGUGCAAUUAUUUAUGCAAAUUUUUGUAAAUAAGUACGAUACCAAAUUACUUAAUAAUCGCUAUCACACCGUACCAUAGUCAUCGUAAUUUUAUGGUGUGGUACUCGUACAAAAAAGCUUACCUGAGUUGCUCUUUAGAAUUCUAAGUUGGCACAAACAAUAAUCGAAUAGUCUUACCUUUUUUUAUGUUGUGCUUUGUAGGAUUAACUUUUUGAUGCUUUUGCAUCCAUUCGUUAUUGUUUUGGCCUUAUUAUAUUUUGAAUUUGUAUAUUUCUCUUGGGUAGUGUCUUGGGUGCCUACAAAUGACCAUAUAUGCAUACCCUCGUGCAUGUGGAUAGUGUAUAUUAUAGGGGAGACUAGCGAAUUUUUUUUAUUGGUCGAAUAACUGAAAAGAGGGGUAUAUUUUUAUAAUACCUACGUAUAUGCAAAAACAAAUGAUGUAGACUUGUCCCAAUGCAUAUGCAGACCAUGCAUGAUGCAAUGAUUCAUAUUAUAUCCCUAGGACUCUAUUGUCUUUAGACUGGUGCAGAUGUUUCAGUUAAAAUAUGUAGGAUGACAUAGGACCAUACUUCAUUCUAAUUUGAGAUCCACAACAAUAUAUCAUGCUAUGUAAAUUUGUUUUGGUACAUAUGUAUCCUCAUUCCAUUCCCGAAGCAGCAUUUAUGAUGCACACUCAUGUUAUAUAUGUACAUAUACAUCUAUAUGUAUUUAUAAGUAUCAUAAAUAGCAUUGGCUGAAUUGUAAAUCUCUAACAAGGGAAAUAAAAUAACUCUUGUCUGCAGUAAGUAUCGUGGUAUCAUGGACCUCUAUUUAGACCGUAGGUGGAUGAGUCGGCGAAAGUCAGGUGCCCGGAUAGGUGCUUCAGAUGAAUUUAGAGCUGGUUGCUAAGUGUUUUUAGAUUAUGCAUAUAGUAACCCAAAAUGAGUGAAUGGUCAGAACAAGAUAAGAUGCCCUUGUUUGAAGUGUAAGAAUAUAAAUUACAUGGACAGAGACAUUGUCAACUAUCAUUUACUUGUUUCUAGGUUCAUGAAAAAAUACGAAGAAUGCUAGUGGGCACAUGGUCAGAGAAGAGAUAGUGGUACAUCACACGUACACAAUUCGGGCAGUAGUACUCAUCGUAUGAAUGAAAUGGUUCAUGAUAUUGUAGGGUCGGAUUUUGAUUAGAAACAAGGUAGAGAGCAACCUAUGAAUUCUUAUGCCAAAGCGUUCUUUAAGUUGUCAGACGAGGGUAGAGAGUCGUUGUGGCAUGGUUGCACCAAGCACACUACAUUUUCUGCAGUGGUGACAUUACUUAACAUCAAGGUUGAUCACAACAUGAGCCAUGAGUGUUUUGAGUCGCUUUUGAAUGCCAUUAAGAGUAUGUUGUAUGAGACUAAAAAAUUUCCCAAAAACUACUACUAUUGUAAGAAAAUGGUGAAGAAGUUGGGUCUUGGAUACUAAAAGAUCGAUGCAUGUCCGAACGAUUGCAUUUUAUUUUAUAAGGAAGAUUAACAUGAGACAAGGUGCACAUUUUGCAGUCAUAAUCGGUUUAGGCCUAAUAGAGAGGGUCUGACAACAAAAAAAACAAAUAUACCUUUUAAGAUUUUAAGGUAUUUUCCAAUUACGGCUAAAAAGAUUGUAUAUGUCUUCCAAAAUAGCUGAACAUGUGACUUGGCAUGCGAAAUCUCAAGCUAAAGAUAGGGAACUAAACCAUCCCGCAGAUGGGAAGGCUUGAAAAGAUUUCAACUUAGCACAUCCUGGGUUUGCAUUGGAACCUAGGAAUGUGAGGCUUGGAUUGUCCACUGAUGGUUUCAACCCGUUCGGCCACUCUGCUGUUCCGUACUCUUGCUGGCCUGUGAUUGUUACUCCAUACAACUUGCCUCCUUGGAUGUGUAUGAAACAACCAUAUUUAGUUUUUUCACUUGUGAUUCCUAUUCCCAAGAGUCCUGGAAAGAACCUAGAUGUUUACUUGAGACCUCUGAUAGACGAGUUGAAGGUAUUGUGGGAGGAUGGAGUACAGACUUGUGAAGUUUUCUCAAAAAUAAAUUUCAACCUUAGGGCUGCGGUUAUGUGGACUAUAAGUGACUUCCUUGAUUAUGGUAUGUUAGCUAGAUGGAGUACACAUGGUAAGUUGGCUUGUCCGUAUUGUAUGGAGCGUACAAAGUCCUUCAAUCUAUCAAAAGGUAGAAAGCCUUGCUUGUUUAACUGUCAUCGUCGAUUCUUGCCGGUAGAUCACCCAUUUCGAAAAAACAUAGAACACUUCAAGAAAGGGAAAGUAGACAAUGAUAUGCCUGCACCGCGAUUUUCGGGGACGGAGAUGUGUGACCAUGUGAUGAGAUUAUCGGUUAUCUCAUUUGGAAAGACUGUUUCCUCAAACACAAUCGAUGGGUUUGGCGAGUCUCAUAAUUGGGUUCACAAAAACAUCUUUUGGGAACUGACUUAUUAGUCUACAAAUUUGAUUUGGCAUAAUCUAGAUGUGAUGCAUAUUGAGAAGAAUGUGUUCGACAAUGUGUUUAACAUCGUGAUGAGUGUUACAGGAAAGAGGAAAGAUAAUGAUAAAGCACGGUUAGACAUGAAAGAUAUUUGUAAACGUCCUGGAUUAGAACUUUAUGAAUCUACAAUUGGUAAAAUGUUCAAACCGCAUGCAAGAUACACAUUGUCCAAAAAGCAGGUUGAAGAAGUGUGCACAUGGAUUAAGUCUCUCAAACUACCAAAUGGAUAUGCGUCAAACAUUGCAAGGUGUGUUACGGGUGGGAAAUUGCAAGGGAUGAAGAAUCAUAACUGUCAUGUGUUCAUGGAAAGACUCGUGCAUGUUUAUAGCAUUUUGGGAUAUGCUUGAUAAACCAAUAUGGGAUGCUUUGACUGAUCUUAGUUAUUUUUUCAGAGACUUGUGUCCCAAAACAUUAAAUGAGAAGGACAUGUCAGUACAUCAUUGAGAUCACGUGUAAGCUUAAAACAAUAUUCCUGCCUGGUUUUUUUUGUCUCCAUGGAGCAUUUGCAAAUCCAUCUUCCCUAUGAAGCUCAUGUUAGGAGUCCAUUUCAAUAUAAAUGGAUGUACCCUUUCGAAAGGGUGAUGGGAAACCAUAAGAGGAAGGUGAAAAUAGAGCUUAUGUCGAGGGGUCGAUAUGUGAGGCAUACAGUUUCAAUGAGAUAUCUACGUUUAUCUCAGACUAUUUUCCCGACGAAGUCUUGACAAAGGUCAAUCGAGUCUCGAGACAUGAUGAUGGGGGUAAUGUUGAACUAAAUGGUCGGCAUUCUGUAUUUGGUCUAUCAGGUCGCGCUUAUAGAAAAAGAAAGCGCAUAUUCCUCUUUGAACAAGAUUUACAUGCUGCACAUACUUACAUUGUAAGACCCCAACUUUUAUGAAUAAAGAAUAAUUUUCUCAAAAUAUAUUUUUGAAUAUUAUGGUGUGGAUUUGAUAUAAUGUUAUAGUUGUGGGAGAAACCUUCAUUACAUCCACUGUUUAUAAGUCUUGUUUGAUUCAAAUCGGUAACUGCGCGUUACCUGUCGAACUUAUUUCCUUGAAAAUACUUGCAUUUGAUGUGAUUUUAGGGAUUGAUUGAUUAACUACUCAUCAUGCUAAAAUCGAUUGUUUUCGUAAGUUUGUUAGCUUUCAUAUUCCUAACCAACCUAUUAUGUGAAUUCAAGCAACCAAACCACUAAAAUCAAUCACUGUUAUAUCAAGUCAUAAAGCUAUUCGUUUAUUAAAAAAUGGAUGUCAAGCUUUCUUAGCCCAUGUCACGGAUUUAAAUAAAAAUAGGUCAGAUUUGAAUGAUAUUUCUAUUGUUAAUAAAUUUCCUGACGUAUUCCCUGAAGAACUUCCUGGCCUACCCCCAGAGCGUGAAAUUGAAUUUUGUAUCGACCUUGAAUUCGGUACAAAACCCAUUUCCAAAGCCCCAUAUUGAAUGGCUUCUAUUGAACUUCAGGAGUUAAAAACCCAACUACAGGAAUUGUUAGACAUCAGUUACAUUCAUCCUAGUACGUCUCCUUGGGGUGCUCCUGUUCUAUUCGUGAAGAAGAAAGAUGGAAGUAUGCGACUUUGUAUUGAUUAUCAGGAGUUGAAUCAUGUCACCAUCAAAAAUAGGUACCCGUUGCCUCGCAUUGAUGACCUAUUUGACCAGUUGCAAGGAGCCAAAUUCUUUUUAAAGAUUGAUCUUCGUUCCAGAUAUCAUCAGUUGAAGAAUAAAAUUGAUGACAUUCCAAAUACUGCUUUCAGAACUCGGUACGGGCAUUAUAAAUUCCUAGUCAUGUCUUUUAGAUUGACUAAUGCUCCUACUGCCUUCAUGGACAUGAUGAACCGAGUAUUCAAGGAAUAUUUGGAUCACUUUUUGGUUGUCUUUAUUGAUGACAUCCUCAUAUACUCCAAAACCCGUGAAGACCAUGAGCAACACUUAAGGCUGAUACUCCAAAAGUUUCGUGAAAACAAGCUAUAUGCCAAGUUAAAGAAAUGUGAGUUCUGGCUUGAGGAAGUUGCAUUACUUGGGCACGUGAUAUCAAAUCAUGGAAUAUCUGUUGACCCAGCAAAGAUUGAAGCAAUUCAAAGCUGGGAGCAACCAAAGUUAGUGACUGAAGUACAUAGCUUUCUCGGCUUAGCUGGUUAUUAUCGGAGAUUCGUGGAAGGAUUUUCUCGAAUCGCUACUCCAUUAACUCAGCUGACUCGAAAAGAUACAAAGUUCAGUUAGAGCGAGGAAUGUGAGAAGAGUUUUCAAGAACUCAAGAGAAGACUCAUUUCAGCACCUAUUCUGACAAUACCAUCUGGCUCGAAGGGAUUUGUCAUCUACAGUGAUGCUUCAGGCAAAGGGUUAGGAUGUGUUCUCAUGCAACAUGGGAAAGUCAUAGCCUAUGCCUCUCGAAAACUCAUUGAAUAUGAGAGAAAUUAUUCUACUCAUGAUCUAGAGUUGGCAGCAGUCGUUUUUGCGCUUAAGAUUUGGAGGCAUUACCUGUAUGGAGAGAAGGUGGAGAUCUAUACGGAUCAUAAAAGCCUCAAAUAUUUCUUUACUCAAAAGGAACUCAACAUGCGACAACGACGAUGGCUUGAGUUGUUGAAAGAUUAUGAUCAUACCAUCCAAUACCAUCCUGGAAAAGCGAACGUAGUAGCUAACGCACUGAGUAGAAGAUCAUAUGCGGGUACAAGUGCAAUAUUGUCAACGCAAAGGCCCAUUUUGUAUGACUUGGAAAGGAUGGAAAUAGAGUUAAAGACUCCAGGGACCCAUGUGAUGAUGGUGAAUAUACAAGUAGAAUCGACUUUAAUUGAUAAAGUUAAAGCUGCUCAACUUACGGACCUAGAGCUGAUGCGUAUGAGGAAGAAAGUACAAGAAGGUGCUAUUCCAGAAGUAAGAAUCGAUGAAGAAGGAAUACUUUGAGUCAACUCCAGACUUUGUGUUCCUAACGAUUCUGACUUGAAGUAUAAAAUCAUGAUGGAGGCGCACAACACACCGUUUGCAAUCCAUCCUGGGAGUACAAAAAUGUAUCGUGAUCUUCGACAUACAUUUUGGUAGAGAAAUAUGAAGAGAGAGAUAGCGGGGUUUAUCUCAAGGUGUCUAGCUUGUCAACGAGUCAUGGCAGAGCAUCAAGUGCCAAAAGAUCCAUUGCAACCACUUAAAAUUCCAGAAUGGAAGUGGGAUCACAUUAUCAUGGAUUUCAUUAGUGGUCUUCCCAAAGUUUCUCAAGGCAUAGAUGCAAUUUGGGUCAUUGUUGAUAGAUUGACCAAGUCUGCUCAUUUCUUACCGAUACGAGAAACUUUUACACUUGAACGUCUUGCUAGUAUGUACAUAAAUGAGAUUGUAAGAUUGCAUGGUAUGUAAAUAUCCAUAGUUUCUGAUCGAGACCCAAGAUUCACUUCAAGAUUUUAGGUUAGUUUGCAAAAAGCUAUGGGCACGGAUUUACGAUUUAGUUCGGCAUAUCAUCCUCAAACGGAUGGGUAGUCGAAAAGGACUAUUCAAACUCUUGAAGAUUUAUUAAGACUCUGUGUCCUUGACUUCAAAGGAAGUUGGGACAAGUUCUUACCAUUGGUGGAGUUUUCCUACAAUAAUAGUUAUCAAGCAAGUAUUGGCAUGGCUCCAUUUGAGGCGUUGUAAGGAAGAAAGUGUCGUUCUCCAGUAUGUUGGGAUGAGGUGGGUGAAGCAACGUUGUUGGGAUCGAAUUUGGUACGUAUGACUACGGAAAAGAUUUAAACGAUCCGACAACAUAUAAAAACCUCACAAGAUCGACAAAAGAGUUAUGUUGAUCUUCAUCGAAAGGACGUGGAAUUCAAUAUUGGAGAUCAUGUGUUGUUACGUGUUCCUCCAUGGAAAGGAGUUACGAGAUUUGGAAAGAGAGAAAAGCUCAAUCCUCGAUUCAUUGGCCCAUUUUUAAUCCUCGGUCGAGUAGGAACUGUGGCCUAUAGACUCGCCUUACCGCCAAGUAUGUCUCGUGUACAUAAUGUUUUUCACAUAUCUAUGUUACAUAAAUAUGUGAAAGACCUGAACCACAUUAUUGAAUUAGAACCAGACGAGAUAGAGGAAGAUUUAACGUAUGAAGAUUUACCUGUUAAAAUCUUGGAUAAGAAGGAUCAUAUUCUACGCUCCAAGGUUAUACCUCAAGUCAAAGUUUUGUGGAGAAACCACGAUGUGGAAGAAAUGACCUGGGAGUUAGAAUCUGAGAUGAAGUCAAGAUAUCCUCACCUCUUCGAUAUACCAGGUACGUACCCUAAUUUCGAGGACGAAAUUUCAUAAGAAGGGGAGGUUGUAAGACCCCAACUUUUAUGAAUAAAGAAUAAUUUUCUCGAAAUAUAUUUUUGAAUAUUAUGGUGUGGAUUUGAUAUAAUGUUAUAGUUGUGGGUAAUAUUUACAAAUUUUGCAAAGUAAGCAAGUGGUUAUAUAAUAUUCGAUUGGUCGGGGAAUAUUCGUUUUAACAGGGAAUAUUCGUACGACGGCACAAUCAUUGGUGGACCCCACAACGGAAGUAUUGUCGUAGUUAGAAAAUGACAGAAUUAUCUUUUUAUAAAAAUAACGGCGAAAGUGUUACCGUUAAAACUGUUGAACUACCCGGUAGUAAAAGUACAGUAAUACGCGUGGUUGCAUAGUAGCACACGGUAUUGAUUAUUGAUGCUUACGUGAGAAGUCACUCAGUUAUACUCAAUUAUUGCUACAGUAAUUGCUGCAUCAUAUCUCUCAUAUUAUUGAUUCAAUUAUUGUCACAGUAUCAUCUGCAUAAUAUGUUAUAUUAUUAAAUCAAUAAUUGAGACGACAAAGUUAUUCAUAUUAUUAUUUGCAAUAUUGACAAUGUCUAGAAGUUCUGUCAAGGAGAGGUUUGGUCACCUAAUUGCGCGCCAAUAAGGAGAAAUCCUUAUCGGAAAGCCCCCUCUUUCCUGGGAACGACCUGGUUGUUAAAUAUUGUGAGUUAUAAUAUUAAUGAUGAAUAAGUUCGUGUUGAUUAAAGAUGAAAUUGAUAGUUCCAUUGUGUUGGAAUUAUUAGUGUUAGUGGAAAUCGACAUUUAUUUCGAUAAUAAUUGAUGUCUGGAGGUUAUAUUGACCAAUCGGGUAAUUAACCGGAUAAAUGAGCAAUUAAUUGCUAUUAAUUCACAUGAUUAUAACUAUUUGUUCACAUGUGUGUACUAUUGAUUCACAUUCUUGUACUAUUAGGGGAGUUGGUGCAAGAUUGAUAAUACUUGCAUGACUAAGUUAAAAAUGGAGGUAUAGAUGGAGGUACUAUACUGUAAUUCGUAUUUUCACAUGUCUAGAACUAUUGAUUCACAUGAUUUACUAUUGAUUCACAUGAUUUACUAUUAGGGGAGGUGGUGCAAGUUUGAUAAUACUUGCAGGACUAAAUUAAAAAUGAAGGAAAAGAGGAAGGUAUUAUACUGUAAUAUUUCGAGCCCCAAAACGUGCAAUUAUCGAAACUAUAUUUUCCUAUAAAUAGAAGCUCAUUCUUCCUUCAUUUCUCACCAAUUCACUAAAGCUAUAGAGCAAUUAUUAUAGAGAGAAAUUAUAGAGAGAAAGAAGAAGAGAAGUCUGCUACCUCACUAUUCCAGUAUCCAGUUUUCUUCUAAGGUAAGGGGUAUUAUUUCUUUCGUAUUCAUGAAGAGAGCUAUUGUUAUUCCAUUCCUUAUUAUUCUGUUGGAAUAACCUGUAUACGCGGACUACCGUAUACAUGGUGAAAUUCUUCUGUUAUUCCAUUCUUUAUUAUUAUGUUGGAAUAACCUGUCUAUGCGAAGUACCGCAUACAUGGUGAAAUUCUUCUGUUAUUCCAUUCUUUAUUAUUCUGUUGGAAUAACCUGUCUAUGCGAAGUACCGCAUGCAUGGUGAUUUCUUUUGUUAUUCCAUUCUUUAUUAUACUCAGUUGGUUAAAGUUUUGACUUCUAUACUCCAUGAAAUUAGUGGAAUAUCCUUGAUAUUUGCGCUUCAUCCAGUAUCUUUUCAUGGAAAUAUUCUUCUGAGCAUUCUUGAAUUUUACUCUACAAAGAAGUAUCAUGUUGACAAUUUGGACGUUAUUAGUUCCUGGAUAAAUUAAUUCUUGAACUUGUUUUAUUGAAUUCUUAUAUCAUUGUCAUCAUCCUCAUGUUUAUAUUUUGUUGAAAGUCAUCUGUGGCCUGUAGUGCAUAGAUGGACUUGGUAUGAUUAUGACCAGGGAUUAUUCGGUGUAAUCAUGACCGUAAUGUUACAAAUGAUGUGGUAAAAGUCCUCAUUGGCCCGUAGUGCAUUGAUGGACAGUUGUUGGCAUGAUCAUGACCAUUAAUGAAUACACAAAUAUUCUUGGCCCGUAGUGCAUGGAUAAUUGUGGUCGUGAUACUAAAGAAUAUCCUUGGCCGUAGUGCAGGGGUGAUUCGAUGAUGUGGAUUAUUUAUUAAGCUGAGUCCCAGCGAUAAAAGUGAUGAAAAACCUUUUAAAUCAUAAAAGAUAGUAGAUUUUAUUCUCUACUUGACUCUUUUAAUGGAUUGCUUGUUCCGCUGCAGUUAAACUUGAUGUUUGUUAUAUUGUAUCAGUUUAACACUGUUUAAGGCUAAUGAUAAUUUAUUCUGCAUUAUCUUAGUCAUAAUAUUUCUUACUGGGCUAGUUGAGCUCACCCUUUCUUUCACUGUUCUCUUCAGGAAAUGAGAACGUAGCCGGGACUAGUCGGAAGACGGAGUGACGGUCCAGAUGAUAGCAUUAGUAGUCAUCACUAUUCUCUUGAAUAGUAUGACAAUAAAUGUAAUGAGGACUCCAUUGAGUGUGGAUAUUGUCUAGAUGAUAAUAUUCUUAUUAAAACUCUUAGAUUAUGUUUUAUUGUAUUUUACACGACUGUUGUAUAAUUAAGUUGUAUUUGAAUUUUGUACCAUGUAUUUGGCGACUCAAGAUGGGUGAUAUAUACCUGUUUUGGGGGCGUCACAUACAUUCUUCUCAAUUGCGUGGAGAUUAACGAAUUUAUGAGGUACACAUAUAAAAUUUCAAUUAUUUUAGGGAUAGCUAUAUCUUAACCUACAAUGAUAUACAUUCCAAUAUGUUAAUGUUUAUAAAAUAUUAUAGAUCAUACGAUGAUGAGUUAAAAGUGAAUCAGCCCGGCAUAACUGAUAAAGAUGUUCAAAUCAGUCGUGAUAAAAACUUUGUAAGGUGGCUUAAGGGAAAAAGUAUGCUACAUAUAUUAAGCAUUAAUAUAUACUCCAUUAAUUUAAGACUUCAUUUAAUGUAAUAGAGUUUUUAUAUGAUCUUACUAAGGGAACGAUUUCGGAUAAUGUACAAGUCCUAGCUAUGGGCCCAGACAUGGACCAAGUCAGCUGCAAUAGUUACAAGAUCAAUGGUUGUGAAUUUUAUAUAAAGGCAUAUGUGACAACCCAAAUUUUUAUAAAUUAUUAAAAUAAAAAUUUAAUAAUUACAAUUCUUAUUAUGAGAUGUAUAUAUUUUGAAUUAUGUGUUUUGGUGUGAAUAAAUUAAAUUUUUAUGAGAUUUAAUAGUUGAUUAAACUAUUGAAGAAAGUGAAGCAAAUUAGUUAUGAAAAAAGGAAAAUGGCGACAAAAGAAAUUAACUAAAUAAUAUUAGUUAAUUGAGAUGGAACAUAUAUUGUGGAAUAAUAUAAUUUAAUUGGUAUGCCUUGAUUGGCGAUUGAAUUGUUAUGAAUUAAAUUUCAUAAAUAAUGUGAGUAAUUCACAUAAUUAAAAUAAUGAAUUAAUGUAAAUGUAAUUGUUUUAAUAAAAUGAGAGUAUAUAUAUAUAUAUAUAUAUAUAUAUAUAUAUAUAUAUAUAUAUAUAUAUANNNNNNNNNNNNNNNNNNNNNNNNNNNNNNNNNNNNNNNNNNNNNNNNNNNNNNNNNNNNNNNNNNNNNNNNNNNNNNNNNNNNNNNNNNNNNNNNNNNNNNNNNNNNNNNNNNNNNNNNNNNNNNNNNNNNNNNNNNNNNNNNNNNNNNNNNNNNNNNNNNNNNNNNNNNNNNNNNNNNNNNNNNNNNNNNNNNNNNNNNNNNNNNNNNNNUAGAUGGUUUUGAUGCAUGAUUUUUUUAAGGAAGUGGUUAUACAUGUUAAUGGUUAUGUUUAAUUCAUUUCAUAUAAUCUAAAAGUGGUUUUAGGGUGAUCAAAUUUAUGAAAGUAUGAUUAAACUAGAAGAAAUUGAGUUCUUAUAGAUAUAUGUACGUUAGGGCUUGUUUUGGAAUCAAAAUUGAUGAUGAAAUCAUGAUUUAAUCUGAAAUUGAUUAUAGAUAUUGUUAGUGUAUUGAAUUACAAAAACAACGAAAGUUAAAUGGAUUGAUUUGGUUAGGAAUCGAAUCUAUGGUGAAUGAUUAUGCUAAAUAUGUUAAAACAUAUAAAACUAAUAUGAACAUGAGUUUUGGGUCAAGAUUUAGGCUAGUUAGUGUUUCUAUAAAUUGUUAUAAUUCUAGUACGUUAUAGUUCUAUGAAUUACGAAUCUAUAGAAUCGAAAAUGGACUAAUUUGGAUGUGUAUAACUCAAGUUAUGAUGAUUAGUAGGAGAAAAGGGUCAAAAAUCGCAUGAACAGUAACUUCAGAGUCCCGUUUCUGCUAACGGGCACAGCUGCGCUGUGUCCUAAGUCAUUUGGGGCACAACAGCGCUCUAGGAUGCAGUUGCACUGUGACCAAGGCUUAAUUGGGCGCAGCUGCGCCCAAAAUAUGCCGGGUGUGACUGUUUUGACCUGUUUUAGUAAAAUAGGCAUAACGUUUUCAUAUGAACUCCGCUUGAGGCGAUUCAGGAUGAUCUGGAACGAGGAUAAAUAGACCUACAACUUUAUUCUUUAAGUUUUUCAAUUUAAGGUUUAGAACAGGGGUCAAAAUGGUCAUCGUUAGGACUAUUGUGUUUUUGGGGAUAAUCGGAGGGCGUCGAGCAUGCACGUAUGCUAGUGUAGUGUUUCUGACGAUAAAAGAUGUUAUUCUAAGUUAUAAAACAUGAAUGUUAGUAAACAUAAUGAUUCUUAACAUUAAUAAAUGAUGUAUUAGAUAAUUUGUAUAAGCAUACAUAAGAGAGACAAAUCGGGCGUGUGACGAAUGAAUGUCGAAAUGCCGUAACAAAUGUUAAUGAACGUAAAAAGUGUUUUAAGUCAAAGGGUUAUGAGAUGUAGAGUAAAGUUUACAUUACAACUUCUAUGCGUUGCUAUGUAACUAAUAGCUGAUGUGUAUGAUUAUAUAAUUGUAUAGGACACGUGAAGUGCAGAUAACUGUAAGCUGUUAAACUGUUAUUGGUAAACAACGAUCAAGGCAAGUCUUUCAGUUCCUAUUUGCUAUAUGAAUUUGAUGAUGAACUAUUUUAAAUCUUUAUUGCAAAUAGCAUGAUGUUUUACAUAUAUGUUGAAAGUAUGAAACGUUAAAGUCAAUCUAUGACUAUGAUGAUUGAGCUAUGAAUGUUAAUUGUGUAAGGAACUCAAUCUUUAUACUUGUUAUGUGAACUGCAACAUGUAUGUUACGUUAGUCCAAUGAUUAUGAGAUAUAUGUUGAGCAUGUUGUUGUGCUACGUGAUGCAUGAAAACUGUUAGAUUUUGCUGGGUUAUCGAGCUCAACCUUGCAAAUAACCAAUUUUGCAGGUUAAGGAUAUAAGGUAACUUUAUGUGUUACUUGAAAGACAUGAAUCAGAUGUAAUGCAUGAAGAUCUAAUAUCCUAGCCAAGUUGUUAUUCUUGUAAACCAUGCCUAAUGUUUCGGUAAAUGUAUUAAUAUUGAAUUGUAAUAUUAUUUUGCGAUGUAAACUCUUGUAGUAUUAAAAUGAUUCUGAGAUACUUCGAUGUAAAGGUUGAAAGUUUUGGGAACGAAAAUAGUUUGUAAUAGAAAAUUUUAAUUAUUCCGUAAAUUUUAAUUGUUGUAUUAUCGUUUAAUGAUGUAAAAUUAGAGGUUGAAUGUAUUAUUAAUGACCGAUGUCGAGAAUUAAAUUAUUUAAAUUUUGGGGUCUUUAUAGUUGGUAUCAGAGCUGUAGGUUAUAAACCUUAGGUAGGAGUACUGUAAGCUAUAACCUUAGAGAAGGAAGGAGAAGAUAAUGAAAGAAUAAGCUCAAAUAGAGUUUGAACAAUUAGAAGUAAGUGAAGAAAUUUAUAAAGAAGGGAUUAAAACAUGCGUGAGAGGAUUCAUAGAGGAAUCUCACAGAGUUAUAAGGAGUAUCAAUGUGGGGUUACCCAACUUCAAUAAUAAGGAUUUAAGGUGAUAAUAAAUAGAUAAUGUCUAUAAGAAGAUAAUGAUAAAGAAGUUAAGAAUAAAAAAUUAUAUUUAAGUAUGAUACAAUUGUAUUCUUUAAUAGUUGAUGUGUGGUAUCUAGGCUAAACGAUUCCUUCAUAUAGCGGAGGUAUAUAUGAACUAGAAACUCAGAACCUAGUUUGUUUGUUGUUUGUGGGAAACCACUCAGUGUACCAUAUUAAAACUGUUAGAAACUCGAUGUGUACCAAGUAUAGAAAAUGGAUAUGUAUGAUGAAAAUGUGGAACUCGAAUGAAAUGUUGAGCAAUGUAAAUGAAGUUAGAAAUUCUUAAAUGAAGAAUUGUGAUAUAAACAAGAAAAUUCAAAGAAGAAUCUUGAAGAGAUAUAAAGAUAAGAAAUGGGAGUUACUUAACUCCAAUAGCCAAGAUAACAAAUAAUGAUAAAUAGACAAAGUCUGUAAGAUUAAAAUCAUAAAUGAAAUCGUAAAUGAUGAAAAGGAAAGAAAGAGGAUCGUAAAACAAAACGAUCACGAGUUAAGAAAUUUUUUUUAAGGUAGAAUAAGAUCAUGACGUGAUCUGUUUAAGUUAUAAAAGAAAGAUGGUCUAUAAUAUUCGAAUAAUUAUAGCUUGAUGAUAUGAAGAUAAUGUACUAUAAUAUUGUACGAGAUAAACUCACGAGGAGUUAUAGCUAAUGUGAUACGAGAAAUUCGUAUUGAGCAAGUUAAGAGCAAGUUAUGAGUAAGAUAGAGUUAGGUGGGAUUUUAAUUGAGGACUCAUGUGAUGGCUGAGUUGUACAUACCUUUGUAUGGGCGAGGGUUUUGUGCUUGCACUUGGUUUAUCACAUUGAUAAUCAUUGGAAUGUCGGUGUCGUGCUAUCAAUGUAUAUGUGGUGAAAAGAUGAUUCUUUUCUCAUGUGUAUAUUUGAUAGUUAGAAACUAUUAAGAUUAGUCAGAUAUUAUUAGGAUUAGAUGGGGUUUCUAAAACUAAUGCAUAUGGUAAGUUCGUGACUCAUAAUAAUAUGGUAUGUUUUGAACCCCUCAGCGAAUGGGCGCUUAUGGUCUGACUAGGAUAAGUUCUUAAACUCAUAUUAUUGUGGCAAGUUCUUGAACUUUCGAUGUGUAAUAAGUUUGAUGAACUAUAAUGGGGGUAUAGGAAGAUUAUAAGUUGAAAUACAAGAAUAUUUAGUAUAAGAGCAUUGGUGGUGCUAGAAAUAAAAAGAAUUAGUUAGUAAUGAGGUAAUGGAGUAAAGAUUAAAAUUGAUGGAGAAAAUUUGAUAUUCUAAAUCUUCUAGCUAUGCUAGUUUUUCAAAACAUUAUUGACUUCGUACUGAUGUUGCAGUUCUUUGUUUUUGAAAAAAUGUUGGAACAUGUGAUUGAAUCAAUGGUUUUUAAAAACAGUGUUGUUAUUCUUGUGUCUAUGUUAAUUGUUUCGGCUAGAUAAAAAUGAUUUAACUUAUCAAAAUGUAUUUUGUAUAAUCGUGUACACCAUUUGAUAUGGUGUAGAAAUAAUAAACGAUGGAUUCUUCAAUAUAAUUGAACCUGGUGUUGGAUGUGAUCAUCGGAUCGUCAACCCACUAUGGUAUGAUGUAGUAUGACGAAGUCACAAAAUGACGAAAUCCUCAACGUACUAUUAAGACGGUAUGGUAUCAUGACGUCAUAAAAAGUUUUUAUUUGGUUUUCUUUAAAUUAAGAAAGGUAUACUAAUUGAGUUGGUUAAAAAAUAAUAUGGAUAUAUAUAUAUAUAUAUAUAUCUCGAUUGAUGUCCGAGUUAUUGCUAGAAGUCUAUGCUACUUGAUUCAGCUAGAUGAAUAUUGAAAGAUGAAAGAUGUUCAUGAAUUUCAAGAGUUCUUUGUCAAACUAUACCAAACCAAAUUAUUUUGGUGUGGAUUCAAAUGUUAAGAAGCUGAGGUGAACAACCCUGUAAAAAGGGGACAUGUUAUCAGAGACAAUGGUUAUGAAAGUAACGCAUAUAGUCGUUGCGAUGUUAAGAUGUAAUAUGUUGUACAUGACGUAGGGGUACGAUAGGCUGAUCACCUAGAGUGUUUUCAGUCUGUGUGAUUGCUAAAUAUUCUGUUAAAGAUGGUUUACAGUGGUGAUACACUAUUAAACCCGAAAAAGAGUUCAAGGUUCAUAUAGUUUUAUAACUGUUAAAGGUUCAAGUCGAGAUACUUGAUAACCUAGGGACGCAGUUCAAGGUCUAAUGACCCCUCAACAUGAUUUGAAAUCUUUUAAAUUCCUGUUAUUUAUAUCGCUUCCCAAUUAUUGAGCAAUUGUGGAAGAUUCUUAUUAUUCUAAAAGGUGAAAGUGGGAAAAGAUGAGAAAAUUAUGCAAAACAUAAUAAUUUCAAGAAAGAAAUGAAAUUCCAGAAAGAAGAGAAAUGUGAAACUCUUAGAAGAGGAAGAGGUGAGGAAUAUAAUGAUCUUAGAAAGAUUCUUAGAGAAAAAAUUUGGUUGUAGAACCUAAUGAAUAAAUAAAUAUUAACAUAAAAUCUAUUUUGAUAAAUGGAAUGAACGAAUAUUAGUAAGUCAAAAUUUCGAGGACGAAAUUCUUAGAAGAAUGGGUGAAUGUAAUGCCCCGAGAGUUUGAGAAUCUAGUACAUGAUAACUGAGUAUAAGGUUAUGAAAUAAAACUUACAAGAAUUUAUUGGGAAGAAUGGUUGGAGUGGUAAUAAAUAAAACCUAUAUUAAGGUGAUGUGUUGGAGAUAUUCAACGAUAAAUUUUGAAAUGAGAUUUGGUGAAAACUAAGUAAGGGAGGUUUCGUUGAUUCUGAGGACGGAAUCCUUAUAAGGGGGGAAGGAUGUGACAACCCGAAUUUUUAUAAAUUAUUAAAAUAAGAAUUUAAUUAUUAAAAUUCUUAUUAUGAGAUGUAUGUAUUUUGAAUUAUGUAUUUUGGUGUGAAGAAAUUAAAUUUUUAUAAGAUUUAAUAGUUGAUUAAACUAUUGAAGAAAGUGAAGCAAAUUAGUUAUGAAAAAAGAAAAAUGGAGGCAAAAGAAAUUAACUAAAUAAUAUUAGUUAAUUAAGAUGGAAAUUAUAUUGUGGAAUAAUAUAAUUUAAUUGGUUUGCCUUGAUUGACGAUUGAAUUGUUAUGAAUUAAAUUUCAUAAAUAAUGUGAGUAAUUCACUUAAUUAAAAUAAUAAAUUAAUGUAAAUGUAAUUGUUUUAAUAAAAUGAGAGAGCAAUAUAUAUAUAUAUAUAUAUAUAUAUAUAUAUAUAUAUAUAUAUAUAUAUAUAUAUAUAUAUAUAUAUANNNNNNNNNNNNNNNNNNNNNNNNNNNNNNNNNNNNNNNNNNNNNNNNNNNNNNNNNNNNNNNNNNNNNNNNNNNNNNNNNNNNNNNNNNNNNNNNNNNNNNNNNNNNNNNNNNNNNNNNNNNNNNNNNNNNNNNNNNNNNNNNNNNNNNNNNNNNNNNNNNNNNNNNNNNNNNNNNNNNNNNNNNNNNNNNNNNNNNNNNNNNNNNNNNNNNNNNNNNNNNNNNNNNNNNNNNNNNNNNNNNNNNNNNNNNNNNNNNNNNNNNNNNNNNNNNNNNNNNNNNNNNNNNNNNNNNNNNNNNNNNNNNNNNNNNNNNNNNNNNNNNNNNNNNNNNNNNNNNNNNNNNNNNNNNNNNNNNNNNNNNNNNNNNNNNNNNNNNNNNNNNNNNNNNNNNNNNNNNNNNNNNNNNNNNNNNNNNNNNNNNNNNNNNNNNNNNNNNNNNNNNNNNNNNNNNNNNNNNNNNNNNNNNNNGAUUGAUUUGUUGAAUAAAAUUAUAAUUAUGGUUGGCUAAAUAGAAACUAUAAUUAUAAUAAUAGAAAUUAUAAUUAUAAUAAUAAAGUUUAAUUUAAUUUAAAUAUUAGAAUUUGUUAAUGGUUGUGACAUGAAUGAAUCAUAUGUUAAAGGGAAUUAUAAAAAUAAAUUAGGAGAGAAUAAUUGGGUUCUAGCCAAACAUGGCCUUGAGACCCUUAUUAUUCCUAACUACCGAUACUAUAGAUUUCUAGUAGCGUAUUGGGAAACCAAAUGCAGAAAUAAAACAUAUGCUUAUUUUAUUUGGCUGAGUAUUCAUAAGGUAAGGCAGAACAGUAUGAGUUCUCUAUGAAUUGGAGAGGGAACUCUAAGAGUUGUGAAGGAAGAUGAUUCAAUCAUAGCUUUCUAAUCAACCACUCUCUAUGUUUAAAGAGGAAUCAAGGUAAUAAUCUAGUUCUAGUUCUUAUUUUCUAGAAUUAGUUAUCUGUAGAUGGUUUUGAUGCAUGAUUUUUUUAAGGAAGUGGUUAUACUUAUUAAUGGUUAUGUUUAAUUCGUUUCAUAUAAUCUAAAAGUGGUUUUAGGGUGAUCAAAUUUAUGAAAGUAUGAUUAAACUAGAAGAAAUUGAGUUUUAUAGAUAUAUGUACGUUAGGGCUUGUUUUGGAAUCAAAAUUGAUGAUGAAAUCAUGAUUUAAUCUGAAAUUGAUUAUAGUUAUUGUUAGUAUAUUGAAUUACGAAAAACAACUAAGGUUAAAUGGAUUGAUUUGGUUAAGAAUCGAAUUCGUGGUGAAUGAUUACGCUAAAUAUAUUAAAACAUAUAAAACUAAUAUGAACAUGAGUUUUGGGUCAAGAUUUAGGAUGGUUAAUGUCUCUAUAAAUUGUUAUAAUUCUAUUACGUUGUAGUUCUAUAAAUUAUGAAUCUAUAUAAUCCAAAACGGACUAAUUUGGAUGUGUAUAACUAGAGUUAUGAAGAUUAGUAGGAAAAAAUGGUCUAAAAUCGCAUGAACAGUAACUUCAAAGUUUCGUUUCUACUAACGGGUGUAGUUGCACUGUGCCCUAAGUUAUUUGGGGCUUAGCUGUGCUCUAGGGCACAGCUGCGCUAUGACCAAGGCUUAAUUGGGUGCAGCUGCGCCUAAAGUAUGGUAGGUGUGAUUGUUUUGACCUGUUUUAGUAAAAUAGGCAUAACAUUUUCAUACGAACUCUGAUUGAGACGAUUCAAGAUGAUCCAGAACGAGGACAAAUAGACCUACAACUUUUUUUCUUUAAGGUUUUUAAUUUGAGGUCUGGAAAAGGGGAAAAAUGGUCAUCUUUAGGACUAUUGUGUUUUUGGGGAUAAUCAGAGGGAACUCUGAGAGUUGUGAAGGAAGAAGAUGAUUCAAUCAAAGCUUUUUAAUCAUCCACUUUCUAUGUUUAAAGAGGAAUCAAGGUAAUAAUCUAGUUCUAGUUCUUAUUUUUUAGAAUUAAUUAUCUGUAGAUGGUUUUGAUGCAUGAUUUUUUUAAGGAAGUGGUUAUACAUGUUAAUGGUUAUGUUUAAUUCAUUUCAUAUAAUCUAAAAGUGGUUUUAGGGUGAUCAAAUUUAUGAAAGUAUGAUUAAACUAGAAGAAAUUGAGUUCUUAUAGAUAUAUGUACGUUAGGGCUUGUUUUGGAAUCAAAAUUGAUGAUGAAAUCAUGAUUUAAUCUGAAAUUGAUUAUAGAUAUUGUUAGUGUAUUGAAUUACAAAAACAACGAAAGUUAAAUGGAUUGAUUUGGUUAGGAAUCGAAUCUAUGGUGAAUGAUUAUGCUAAAUAUGUUAAAACAUAUAAAACUAAUAUGAACAUGAGUUUUGGGUCAAGAUUUAGGCUAGUUAGUGUUUCUAUAAAUUGUUAUAAUUCUAGUACGUUAUAGUUCUAUGAAUUACGAAUCUAUAGAAUCGAAAAUGGACUAAUUUGGAUGUGUAUAACUCAAGUUAUGAUGAUUAGUAGGAGAAAAGGGUCAAAAAUCGCAUGAACAGUAACUUCAGAGUCCCGUUUCUGCUAACGGGCGCAGCUGCGCUGUGUCCUAAGUCAUUUGGGGCACAGCAGCGCUCUAGGAUGCAGUUGCACUAUGACCAAGGCUUAAUUGGGCGCAGCUGCGCCCAAAAUAUGUCGGAUGUGACUGUUUUGACCUGUUUUAGUAAAAUAGGCAUAACAUUUUCAUAUGAACUCCGCUUGAGGCGAUUCAGGAUGAUCUGGAACGAGGAUAAAUAGACCUACAACUUUAUUCUUUAAGUUUUUCAAUUUAAGGUUUAGAACAGGGGUCAAAAUGGUCAUCUUUAGUACUAUUGUGUUUUUUGGGAUAAUCGGAGGGCGUCGAGCAUGCACGUAUGCUAGUGUAGUGUUUCUGACGAUAAAAGAUGUUAUUCUAAGUUAUAAAACAUGAAUGUUAGUAAACAUAAUGAUUCUUAAAAUUAAUAAAUGAUGUAUUAGAUAAUUUGUAUAAGCAUACAUAAGAGAGACAAAUCGGGCGUGUGACGAAUGAACGUCGAAAUGCCGUAACAAAUGUUAAUGAACGUAAAAAGUGUUUUAAGUCAAAUGAAAUGAAAAUUAUAAGAUAUUAAAUGGAUUUAAUAUAAAACCAAUAAUGAUUCCUAGUAAGACUUAAAUACUUGAAUGAACUUCGAAUAUAAAAUAUAGUGAUAUAUAAGUCAAAAGUUAACACAAUAAAAUUGAACAUUGUGUAUUAAUAAUAGGAAGGGUUAUGAGAUGGAGAGUAAAGUUUACAUUACAACUAGUAUGUGUUGCUAUGUGACUAAUAGUUGAUUUGUAUGAUUAUAUAAUUGUGUAGGGAAUGUGAAGUGCAGAUAACUGUAAGUUGUUAAACUGUUAUUGGUAAACAACGAUCAAGGCAAGUCUUUCAGUUCCUAUUUGCUAUGUGAACUUAAUGAUGAACUGUUUUAAAUCUUUAUUGCAAAUAGCAUGAUGUUUUACAUAUAUGUUAAAAGUGUGAAAUGUUAAAGUCAAUCUAUGACUAUGAUGAUUGAGCUAUAAAUGUUGAUUGAGUAAGGAACUCAAUCUUUAUACUUGUUAUGUGAACUGCAACAUGUAUGUUAUGUUAGUCCAAUGAUUAUGAGAUAUAUGUUGAGCAUGUUGUUAUGUGCUACGUGAUGCAUGAAAACUGUUAGAUUUUGCUGGGUUGUCGAGUUCAACCUUGCAAAUAACCAGUUUUGCAGGUUAAGGAUAUAAGGUAACUCUAUGUGCUACUUGAAAGACAUGAAUCAGAUGUAAUGCAUGAAGAUCUAAUAUCCUAGCCAAGUUGUUAUUCUUGUAAACCAUGCCUAAUGUUUCGAUAAAUGUAUUAAUAUUGAAUUAUAAUAUUAUUUUGUGAUGUAAACUCUUGUAGUAUUAAAAUAAUUCUGAGAUACUUAAAUGUAAAGGUUUAAAGUUUUGGGAACGAAAAUAGUUUAUAAUAGAAAAUUUUAAUUAUUCUGCAAAUUUCAAUUGUUGUAUUAUCGUUUAAUGAUGUAAAAUUAGAGUUUGAAUGUAUUGUUAAUGACCAAUGUCGAGAAUUAAAUUAUUUAAAUUUUGGGGUCGGUACAACAUAUGCUCGCAGUAAAAGAACAACGAACAUUGGAUUUUGUGUCCAAUGAGAUUGUUACAAUGAGCUUGGUCGUGCCUUUUAUGGGGAGUUGGAAGAAAUCAUAGAGUUUUCGUACAAGGGCACUUACGGAGGUCAGAUUUACUUUUUCAAGUGUCAUUGGUUUGAUACAGAAAAAGGGAUAUGUGUCGAUCGACAUGGAAUCGUCGAUAUUGACGUUCAUAGGUAUGUGUACGCCAAUGAACCAUUUGUGUUGCCAACUCAAGCAGUACAAGUAUACUACACUCCUAGUUAUGUUAGGAAAAGAGAUAGACCGCCUGUAGAUUGGCAAGUUGUAAUUCAUACUCUCGCGCGCAGUCGUGUACAAUUAGUAGACGGGGAGUUCUACCAAGAGGAGAUGCUUCAUAGACCUACACCAAUAAAUAUGGAGGACGACACUGAAGUAAUACAAUUAGAAGAUGGAGAUGAACCUACUGAAUUGGGUCCUGAGUCAAUAGUGUGCCAGAUGACAUUGAUACUGAGGAAGAAAAGUUAUUGACUGACAUCGACACUGAAUCUACAAAAAGGUGAUGGUUAUGAAUCUCCAAACUGUAUACAAGAUGAUUCUAAUAAAAAAAAAUAGGAUGUAUGUUUAGUAUUACUUGUAGUACUUCAAAUUAUACAUAUAUACAUGUUCUUUAUAUAUAUCAUUGUCGUGUUUAUGUAUCUUUCAUUUAUUACUGUGUUGUAGUUAGUUAACUAUUUCAUACCAUUACAUGUAAUUAUUAUCAUUUUAUUUGUAUAUGUUCUCAAAUAUAUCAGUGUAUUAAAAUCAUGAAAUAUGUUUUUACAGAUGAUGGAUGAACCAGCUGCAAGAAAGCGCAGCUUGGGUAGGGGUCCUAAUCACGUGCCAAAGGGCCUGACAAAUCCAGAUGAACGGAUUCUUAUACAUAUUCGUCCUACUCCGGACAACAUGUAUGUUAAACUUUUAUAUAUCAAUAUUUUAUAUUUCAAUUGUUUAAGAUCUAUACUAAUGUAACUUUCUUAAAAUAUUAUAAUCAAAUGCCUGUAUUUAAUGUAAAUUAUUAUAUAUUGUAGUGAUUUUUGUGAUGGCAAAAUUGUGAAGUGUAGUUCACAAUUAUACUUACAGAACUGGCCUACGCCAGUGAUUACGUGGGCGAGCACACCUAGCGCCCACAAGGAUGUUAUUUGGGUAGAAUUUUAGGUAUAUUUUUUAUUAAUGCUUCACAAUAUAAUUAAUAACUUUUCUAAUAUUAUUAAUGUUUGUUUUAUUUGCAUAAGAGCUAUAGAUGGGACGACGCACAUACAUCAAUUUUUCAGACACUAUUAUGGCAGAAGUGCGCCAUUCGAACCAAAGACAAUCUAAAUAAGGAAAGAAAAAAAGUCAUUCAUAAUGCAAGGAUUGAUCAUCCAGGACAGGGUGAGGACUACAUGUAUGAGCAUACCCCCUGGUGGUGCACACAGAGCAUAUGGGCUGAUAUGUGUGCCCACUGGAGAGUCAAGGGAUGGGUCAAGAGACGGAAGACUGCCUUCGGGAACAGAGCCUCAAGUGUACCUACAGGCAAAAAGGCAAAAGGGAUAAGGGCGGCAAUAUAUCUCAAGUGCAGCACAUUACUGCCAGAGUAUGGAUUGAGUAUAAAGUUUCAGUUUUAGUUUUAGUACAUCACACAUGUUUACUUAUUAAUAUAUGAGCAUAUUAAUUUUGUAGGAAGCAUCGUCUCAGGGCCAACCCAUCCAUUGUGUGGAUGUAUAUGUGGCCACCUGCGAUGGUUUGCCUGAGGCUAUCAAGAUAGCAGUAUACUUUGAUAUAUUUAUAAAUUUUUACAUCAUUCUUAAGUAUUUUAUAUUUAUUGUUAACUAUUUAAUUUCUAACCUGCUGACAG